GACGAACGCUGGCGGCGUGCCUAAUACAUGCAAGUAGAACGCUGAAGAGAGGAGCUUGCUCUUCUUGGAUGAGUUGCGAACGGGUGAGUAACGCGUAGGUAACCUGCCUUGUAGCGGGGGAUAACUAUUGGAAACGAUAGCUAAUACCGCAUAACAAUGGAUGACACAUGUCAUUUAUUUGAAAGGGGCAAUUGCUCCACUACAAGAUGGACCUGCGUUGUAUUAGCUAGUAGGUGAGGUAAUGGCUCACCUAGGCGACGAUACAUAGCCGACCUGAGAGGGUGAUCGGCCACACUGGGACUGAGACACGGCCCAGACUCCUACGGGAGGCAGCAGUAGGGAAUCUUCGGCAAUGGGGGCAACCCUGACCGAGCAACGCCGCGUGAGUGAAGAAGGUUUUCGGAUCGUAAAGCUCUGUUGUAAGUCAAGAACGGGUGUGAGAGUGGAAAGUUCACACUGUGACGGUAGCUUACCAGAAAGGGACGGCUAACUACGUGCCAGCAGCCGCGGUAAUACGUAGGUCCCGAGCGUUGUCCGGAUUUAUUGGGCGUAAAGCGAGCGCAGGCGGUUUGAUAAGUCUGAAGUUAAAGGCUGUGGCUCAACCAUAGUUCGCUUUGGAAACUGUCAAACUUGAGUGCAGAAGGGGAGAGUGGAAUUCCAUGUGUAGCGGUGAAAUGCGUAGAUAUAUGGAGGAACACCGGUGGCGAAAGCGGCUCUCUGGUCUGUAACUGACGCUGAGGCUCGAAAGCGUGGGGAGCGAACAGGAUUAGAUACCCUGGUAGUCCACGCCGUAAACGAUGAGUGCUAGGUGUUGGAUCCUUUCCGGGAUUCAGUGCCGCAGCUAACGCAUUAAGCACUCCGCCUGGGGAGUACGACCGCAAGGUUGAAACUCAAAGGAAUUGACGGGGGCCCGCACAAGCGGUGGAGCAUGUGGUUUAAUUCGAAGCAACGCGAAGAACCUUACCAGGUCUUGACAUCCCGAUGCUAUUUCUAGAGAUAGAAAGUUACUUCGGUACAUCGGUGACAGGUGGUGCAUGGUUGUCGUCAGCUCGUGUCGUGAGAUGUUGGGUUAAGUCCCGCAACGAGCGCAACCCCUAUUGUUAGUUGCCAUCAUUCAGUUGGGCACUCUAGCGAGACUGCCGGUAAUAAACCGGAGGAAGGUGGGGAUGACGUCAAAUCAUCAUGCCCCUUAUGACCUGGGCUACACACGUGCUACAAUGGUUGGUACAACGAGUUGCGAGUCGGUGACGGCGAGCUAAUCUCUUAAAGCCAAUCUCAGUUCGGAUUGUAGGCUGCAACUCGCCUACAUGAAGUCGGAAUCGCUAGUAAUCGCGGAUCAGCACGCCGCGGUGAAUACGUUCCCGGGCCUUGUACACACCGCCCGUCACACCACGAGAGUUUGUAACACCCGAAGUCGGUGAGGUAACCUUUUGGAGCCAGCCGCCUAAGGUGGGACAGAUGAUUGGGGUGAAGUC
rnacentral:rRNA from 1 species